UACGGAGGGAGCUAGCGUUGUUCGGAAUUACUGGGCGUAAAGCGCGCGUAGGCGGCUUUGUAAGUUAGAGGUGAAAGCCCGGAGCUUAACUCCGGAACUGCCUUUAAAACUGCAUCGCUUGAAUCCAGGAGAGGUGAGUGGAAUUCCGAGUGUAGAGGUGAAAUUCGUAGAUAUUCGGAAGAACACCAGUGGCGAAGGCGGCUCACUGGACUGGUAUUGACGCUGAGGCGCGAAAGCGUGGGGAGCAAACAGG
rnacentral:rRNA from 1 species